rnacentral:rRNA from 1 species
UGGGCGUUAAGUUGCAGGGUAUAGACCCGAAACCCGGUGAUCUAGCCAUGGGCAGGUUGAAGGUUGGGUAACACUAACUGGAGGACCGAACCGACUAAUGUUGAAAAAUUAGCGGAUGACCUGUGGCUGGGGGUGAAAGGCCAAUCAAACCGGGAGAUAGCUGGUUCUCCCCGAAAGCUAUUUAGGUAGCGCCUCGUGAAUUCAUCUCCGGGGGUAGAGCACUGUUUCGGCUAGGGGGCCAUCCCGGCUUACCAACCCGAUGCAAACUGCGAAUACCGGAGAAUGUUAUCACGGGAGACAC